CUGGCUCAGGAUGAACGCCGGCGGUGUGCCUAAUACAUGCAAGUCGAACGCGUUGGCCCAAUUGAUUGAYGGUGCUUGCACCUGAUUGAUUUUGGUCGCCAACGAGUGGCGGACGGGUGAGUAACACGUAGGUAACCUGCCCAGAAGCGGGGGACAACAUUUGGAAACAGAUGCUAAUACCGCAUAACARCGUUGUUCGCAUGAACAACGCUUAAAAGAUGGCUUCUCGCUAUCACUUCUGGAUGGACCUGCGGUGCAUUAGCUUGUUGGUGGGGUAACGGCCUACCAAGGCGAUGAUGCAUAGCCGAGUUGAGAGACUGAUCGGCCACAAUGGGACUGAGACACGGCCCAUACUCCUACGGGAGGCAGCAGUAGGGAAUCUUCCACAAUGGGCGCAAGCCUGAUGGAGCAACACCGCGUGAGUGAAGAAGGGUUUCGGCUCGUAAAGCUCUGUUGUUAAAGAAGAACACGUAUGAGAGUAACUGUUCAUACGUUGACGGUAUUUAACCAGAAAGUCACGGCUAACUACGUGCCAGCAGCCGCGGUAAUACGUAGGUGGCAAGCGUUAUCCGGAUUUAUUGGGCGUAAAGAGAGUGCAGGCGGUUUUCUAAGUCUGAUGUGAAAGCCUUCGGCUUAACCGGAGAAGUGCAUCGGAAACUGGAUAACUUGAGUGCAGAAGAGGGUAGUGGAACUCCAUGUGUAGCGGUGGAAUGCGUAGAUAUAUGGAAGAACACCAGUGGCGAAGGCGGCUACCUGGUCUGCAACUGACGCUGAGACUCGAAAGCAUGGGUAGCGAACAGGAUUAGAUACCCUGGUAGUCCAUGCCGUAAACGAUGAGUGCUAGGUGUUGGAGGGUUUCCGCCCUUCAGUGCCGGAGCUAACGCAUUAAGCACUCCGCCUGGGGAGUACGACCGCAAGGUUGAAACUCAAAGGAAUUGACGGGGGCCCGCACAAGCGGUGGAGCAUGUGGUUUAAUUCGAAGCUACGCGAAGAACCUUACCAGGUCUUGACAUCUUGCGCCAACCCUAGAGAUAGGGCGUUUCCUUCGGGAACGCAAUGACAGGUGGUGCAUGGUCGUCGUCAGCUCGUGUCGUGAGAUGUUGGGUUAAGUCCCGCAACGAGCGCAACCCUUGUUACUAGUUGCCAGCAUUAAGUUGGGCACUCUAGUGAGACUGCCGGUGACAAACCGGAGGAAGGUGGGGACGACGUCAGAUCAUCAUGCCCCUUAUGACCUGGGCUACACACGUGCUACAAUGGACGGUACAACGAGUCGCGAACUCGCGAGGGCAAGCAAAUCUCUUAAAACCGUUCUCAGUUCGGACUGCAGGCUGCAACUCGCCUGCACGAAGUCGGAAUCGCUAGUAAUCGCGGAUCAGCAUGCCGCGGUGAAUACGUUCCCGGGCCUUGUACACACCGCCCGUCACACCAUGAGAGUUUGUAACACCCAAAGUCGGUGGGGUAACCUUUUAGGAGCCAGC
rnacentral:rRNA from 2 species